GAUGAACGCUGGCGGCGUGCCUAAUACAUGCAAGUCGAGCGAACGGACGAGAAGCUUGCUUCUCUGAUGUUAGCGGCGGACGGGUGAGUAACACGUGGAUAACCUACCUAUAAGACUGGGAUAACUUCGGGAAACCGGAGCUAAUACCGGAUAAUAUUUUGAACCGCAUGGUUCAAAAGUGAAAGACGGUCUUGCUGUCACUUAUAGAUGGAUCCGCGCUGCAUUAGCUAGUUGGUAAGGUAACGGCUUACCAAGGCAACGAUGCAUAGCCGACCUGAGAGGGGGAUCGGCCACACUGGAACUGAGACACGGUACAGACUCCUAGGGGCGGCAGCAGUAGGGAAUCUUCCGCAAUGGGCGAAAGCCUGACGGAGCAACGCAGCGUGAGUGAUGAAGGUCUUCGGAUCGUAAAACUCUGUUAUUAGGGAAGAACAUAUGUGUAAGUAACUGUGCACAUCGUGACGGUACCUAAUCAGAAAGCCACGGCUAACUACGUG
rnacentral:rRNA from 1 species